UUUACACGGGGGUGCGAGGGCAGCAAAUGACUAAAACUUCUGGGUGGUGACACCUGCAGACAUGGCGGGUCAGCCAGGUCUGGAGAGGGGCUGGCCUGGCAGGUGACGGACAGCAGAGGUGGAGAAUGGAAUUGCUGGGUACUUCACAUGAACCGCACAGGAACCAUCUUCGGCGUGCACAGUGGAAAAAGAGCAGCUGGCUCUCUCAGGUCAUCGUUUCGUGUGUGUAACCACUGAGUAAUAAGUUACUCGCCGGACCCGGGAUCUUCCUUCACUACAGUGUUGCGGACAUCGAGGGCAAGCAUCAUAGGAACGUCCAUGGUGCCACCAUAAAGGCCAAGCAUUGUGUCACCGGGCAGCAGACAGGAAAGGACAAAAGCUUCAGGCUGUCUGACAUUAUGUCCCAUCAUACCUUGCUUCCCAGGGGACCUCAGACCCCACCGCUCCCAGUAACCCAGAGAAGAAACUGAGGUUGGAACAGGACAACGGAACCGGGAGGCAAACCCAGACCUACCGCGUACACUUGGUUCCCCCGCGUUUUGAACCUCCUAGCUUUCCCUGCACCAGCCUAACUGUCCUGGGUCUGCCCUGGCCCUCCAAGUACCCAGAGGCCCCUGCAUCUGAGAUACCUUGUAUGGACCAAAAACAAUAAAAAAAU
rnacentral:sRNA from 1 species